rnacentral:rRNA from 1 species
GACGAACGCUGGCGGCGUGCCUAAUACAUGCAAGUCGAGCGAACUUUUGGGAGCUUGCUCCCAAAAGUUAGCGGCGGACGGGUGAGUAACACGUGGGCAACCUGCCUAUAAGACUGGGAUAACUUCGGGAAACCGGAGCUAAUACCGGAUAAUUCUUUUCUACUCAUGUAGGAAAGCUGAAAGACGGCUUCGGCUGUCACUUAUAGAUGGGCCCGCGGCGCAUUAGCUAGUUGGUGAGGUAACGGCUCACCAAGGCAACGAUGCGUAGCCGACCUGAGAGGGUGAUCGGCCACACUGGGACUGAGACACGGCCCAGACUCCUACGGGAGGCAGCAGUAGGGAAUCUUCCGCAAUGGACGAAAGUCUGACGGAGCAACGCCGCGUGAGUGAUGAAGGUUUUCGGAUCGUAAAACUCUGUUGUUAGGGAAGAACAAGUACGAGAGUAACUGCUCGUACCUUGACGGUACCUAACCAGAAAGCCACGGCUAACUACGUG